UACGAGGGGUCCUAGCGUUGUUCGGAAUCACUGGGCGUAAAGCGCAUGUAGGCGGCUUUGUAAGUCAGGUGUGAAAUCCCUGGGCUCAACCCAGGAAGUGCACUUGAUACUGCAGAGCUUGAAUAUGAAAGAGGGUAGCGGAAUUCCUGGUGUAGUGGUGAAAUACGUAGAUAUCAGGAGGAACUCCGGUGGCGAAGGCGGCUACCUGGUUCAAUAUUGACGCUGAGAUGCGAAAGCGUGGGGAUCAAACAGG
rnacentral:rRNA from 1 species